GACGUAGGAGGCGAGCGUUGUCCGGAUUUACUGGGCGUAAAGCGCGCGCAGGCGGUCGCGCAGGUCAGCUGUGAAAGCCCCCGGCUCAACCGGGCGGAUGCGGGUGAAACCGCGCGACUGGAGGGUGGGAGAGGUCGGCGGAAUUCCCGGUGUAGUGGUGAAAUGCGUAGAUAUCGGGAGGAACACCCGUAGCGAAGGCGGCCGACUGGACCGCACCUGACGCUGAGGCGCGAAGGCCAGGGGAGCGAACGGG
rnacentral:rRNA from 1 species